GUGAUAUAAAUUUACUUUAUGGAACGAAAGCUUGUUUUUAUGGAAGGCCGUACGUCACAAAUUACGUCAUCAUGCGGAUCAGAAACAGACUAGAAAGAGCAGAAUGUUUUCAAUUGCAUAUUUUCUGUAUUUGCAGGGCACUCCAUUAUACCACACUGAUAGCUUCUCCAAGAUUAUAAAUAUGAUACAUGUACACAGGCACAGUUACUUGUCAUCACAAGGAUCAGAAUUCAA